AAAGCAGAGGCCCUACGCUUGCCCAACUGGGCAGAGGGAUCCUCCUCCUGUCAUCAUUGGCAAAAAGUGUAAUCUGAAUGCCAUAGCUACCAGAUUUGAAGCACUUCAAAGAAAUGAAGAGAUAAUGGGUUAAAACCAUGGAGGAGAGCCCCAUCAGCUGCACACUCAGAAGAUCUGAUUACACGAUGUUGGGAGGAUGUCUUCCUUCAUUCUUUCCACCUUUUUGUUAUGUUAUUUCCAUAAAGGUCUAAUGAUGUCUUCCGCAGAUACGAACUAGGCUCUCGAUCUGAACAGUUAUGGCAGCUUUAAAAGUGCCAAGUGCAGAAAAUUGAUAGUGAAAAAUGCAGUGAUUAAUGUAAGGAAGACAUCCCAUCUUCAUUAAAUACCUAUGUUAAGAAGAGGAAGAAAUACUACAAGAAAAACAAAACAAAGGCAAGAAGAGUUACGAAGCUCCACUAAAAACAUUCCAGUUAUCUUGUCACAUAGAAAUAAUACUCAAGAAAGGGUUUAUACUUAUUCCUGCCAAUAAAUUUCUUGUAAAGAGACCAAACUGAAA